rnacentral:rRNA from 1 species
UACGUAGGGUGCAAGCGUUGUCCGGAAUUAUUGGGCGUAAAGAGCUCGUAGGCGGUUUGUCGCGUCGGCUGUGAAAACCUGAGGCUCAACCUCAGGCCUGCAGUCGAUACGGGCAGACUAGAGUCCGGCAGGGGAGACUGGAAUUCCUGGUGUAGCGGUGAAAUGCGCAGAUAUCAAGUGGAACACCAGUGGCGAAGGCGAAUCCCUGGAAAAUACCUGACACUGAGGCACGAAAGCUAGGGGAGCAAACAGG